UACGAAGGGGGCUAGCGUUGCUCGGAAUCACUGGGCGUAAAGGGUGCGUAGGCGGGUCUUUUAAGUCAGGGGUGAAAUCCUGGAGCUCAACUCCAGAACUGCCUUCGAUACUGGAAGACUCGAGUCCGGGAGAGGUGAGUGGAACUGCGAGUGUAGAGGUGAAAUUCGUAGAUAUUCGCAAGAACACCAGUGGCGAAGGCGGCUCACUGGCCCGGUACUGACGCUGAGGUGCGAAAGCGUGGGGAGCAAACAGG
rnacentral:rRNA from 1 species